rnacentral:tRNA from 1 species
GUAGGUGUAGCUCAGUGGUAGAACAUGUGCUUAGCAUGCACGAGGUCCUGGGUUCAAUCCCCAGGAUCUCCG